UAUUGCGUAGCCAGACCUCCAGAAAAUCUGGAAUCCAUAGCGGUUUUCAUUGGCCAAGGAAGAGGCCAUCUUACUGACAUGUAAAUCAGCCAAUCAUAACCAAGAGUCAUGUUUUGGGGAGUGAAAAUGUAGUCAAUGUCUCUACAAUAACAGUCAAGCAUGUAAAACUCUUGGACGUAUUUUAAAGAAUCUAUGCCGUGAACUUCACAUACUUUUGGAAAUGCUGAUAAGCAUCAGAUGAUGACUUUGAAACUCCCAAAGUGUUUCCAAUUUUGUGUCUUAUACAUCAGAUGUUCAGUGGGCGUGGCGUCUGAGGCUGUGACUACAUUCUUACUACACACACAUUCAUACUCCACAAAAUGCUUUUUUUUUUUUUUAAUGUUCAUAAAGUACUUAUUCAAAAGAGGUACCUACUCAGUAUGCGAUUUCGAACGUAGCUGUAAUGAUGGGUCGAAUGCGUGAGGAUCCAUUUGCAGCUUGUUUAUUAAAAGUACUUACAGAGUAGACAGGGGCAAAGGCAGAGACACAAACAGGGACAGGCAAUGGUCGAGGCAGGCGGCAGACAAGCAGAGUCCAAAUAACAGGCAAGGAUCAGGGCAGGCGGCAAACAAACACAGUCCAAUAAACAGUCCAAUGGCAACAGAAAUACAAUCCACAAGAAAACGCUCAGAAGUGAUCACCGGGGCAAAUCAAGACUUCGCCAAGGGUGUGUGUGUGUGUGUCUUAAAUAGUCCAGGUAAUGAUCUGCAGGUGUGUGUGGCAAUUGGUGAUUGGUGCAUGUGAUUGGAAGGGAGGAUUAUGGGAAGUGGAGUCCAGGAACUGACAGGAACAGACAGUGAUCGUGACAUAACGCCCCCCUUCCGGAAGGCGCGUCCUCGCGGCGUAAAUGGCACAGAUAGGGAGGGGGGGGUGGGUACAUUGGAGACCUGUUGGCAGACGGGAACGGGGUCUCCAAUGCAGGUCCAGGAACUCGGGCAGCCACGGGGGGUCAGGUGCCACGGGCAGCCACGGCGGGUCAGGUGCCACGGGCAGCCACGGCGGGUCAGGUGCCACGGGCAGCCACGGCGGGUCAGGUGCCACGGGCAGCCACGGCGGGUCAGGUGCCACGGGCAGCCACGGCGGGUCAGGUGCCACGGGCAGCCACGGCGGGUCAGGUGCCACGGGCAGCCACGGCGGGUCAGGUGGCUUGGGCACCCACGGCGGGUCAGGUGGCUUGGGCAACCACGGCGGGUCAGGUGGCUUGGGCAACCACGGCGGGUCAGGUGGCUUAGGCGGCCACGGUGGGUCAGGUGGCUUGGGCGCCCACGGCAGGUCAGGGUCCGUAGCCGGCCACAGCAGUUCACAGGCGGUUGAAGACCGUGGGCGUGUAAGGUCCCCACCCGCAAGCUCAAGCAAUUCGGAGACCGCUGAUGAUCGCGGCCGUGCAGGGUCCCCACCCACAAGCUCCCCACCCUCAGGUAUAUGG